rnacentral:rRNA from 1 species
GACGAACCGUGCGAACGUUAUUCGGAAUCACUGGGCUUAAAGCGCGUGUAGGCGGGGCGGCACGUCGGUCGCUGAAAUCCCCCGGCUUAACCGGGGAACGGGCGCCGAUACGACCGCCCUGGAGGGACGUAGGGGGGCCUGGAACUUCCGGUGGAGCGGUGAAAUGCGUUGAGAUCGGAAGGAACGCCCGUGGCGAAAGCGAGGCCCUGGACGUCUGCUGACGCUGAGACGCGAAAGCCAGGGGAGCGAACGGG